rnacentral:rRNA from 1 species
ACGAACGCUGGCGGCGUGGCUUAGGCAUGCAAGUCGAACGUGAAAGCCCGCAAGGGCAAGUAAAGUGGCGAAAGGGUGAGUAAUAUAUCGAUAACCUGCCCUUCGAGACGGGGAUAACAGCUCGAGAGGGCUGCUAAUACCCGAUGGUCCUAGAUCGAAGCAUUCGAUCUAGUUAAACGGUCGGUCCUUUGAGGACCCUCUGCUCGGAGAGGGGUCGAUAUCCUAUCAGCUAGUUGGUGAGGGUAACGGCUCACCAAGGCUAUGACGGGUAGCCGGACUGAGAGGUCGACCGGUCACACUGGCACUGAGACACUGGCCAGACUCCUACGGGAGGCUGCAGUCGAGAAUCUUCCGCAAUGGGCGCAAGCCUGACGGAGCGACGCCGCGUGCAGGAUGAAGGCCUUCGGGUUGUAAACUGCUGUCAGAUGUUAUGAAUGGUCAGUCGUGAAUAGCGACUGACUUGACCAAGGCGUAAAAGGAAGUCACGGCUAACUUCGUGCCAGCAGCCGCGGUAAGACGAAGGUGGCAAGCGUUGCUCGGAAUCACUGGGCAUAAAGCGCGCGUAGGUGGCCCUAUAAGUCGGCGGUGAAAUCCCAUCGCUCACCGAUGGAACUGCCGCCGAUACUAUAGGGCUUGAGGACGGUAGGGGAGAGUGGAACUCCUGGUGUAGCGGUGAAAUGCGUAGAUAUCAGGAGGAACGCCGGUGGCGAAAGCGACUCUCUGGGCCGUUCCUGACACUGAAGCGCGAGAGCUAGGGGAGCAAACAGGAUUAGAUACCCUGGUAGUCCUAGCUGUAAACGAUGGGCACUAGGUAGAGGGGGUUUCGAUGCCUCCUUUGCCGGAGCAAAUGUGUUAAGUGCCCCGCCUGGGGAGUAUGAUCGCAAGGUUAAAACUCAAAGGAAUUGACGGGGGCUCACACAAGCGGUGGAGCAUGUGGUUCAAUUCGAAGCAACGCGAAGAACCUUACCCGGGUUUGAAAUGCUGGGAUUAGCCUCCUGAAAGGGAGGUGACGCCGCAAGGUGGAACCAGCACAGGUGUUGCAUGGCUGUCGUCAGCUCGUGUCGUGAGAUGUCGGGUUAAGUCCCUAACGAGCGCAACCCUUGUCCUUAGUUGCCUAGCGGGUCAGCGGGGCACUCUAGGGAGACUGCCGUGUGACAAACCGGAGGAAGGUGGGGGAUGACGUCAAGUCCUCAUGGCCCUUAUGGUAGGGGCUUACACACGUGCCUACAAUGGCCGGUACAGAGGGAUGCAAUGCCGCUGAGGUGGAGCCAACCCCAGAAAAGCCGGAUCCGUAGUCCGGAUUGGCAGGCUGCAACUUCGACCUGCAUGAAGUCGGAAUCGCUAGUAAUCGCGGAUCAGCUACGUCGCGGUGAAUAUGUUCCUGAGUCUUGUACACACCGCCCGUCAAGCACGCAAUGGUAGUGAUCCCUGAAGUAGUGUACCCUAACCCGCAAGGGAGGGACGCUGCCCACGGUAACGGUUCAUGACUUGGGACU